ACCAAAAGAAAGGCCAGUUGUGACAUCUUCUACCAACUAGAUACUGCUGGCCCAUCAGUUACCCCUGGAUGGGAUCUGAAUCUGAUGUCGAAUUGCUUCUAUCAAUCACCUGGUGAAGAUAAACCAUCCUUUGACCUGGACUGUCAAAAGUCUAAAUUCUUUUGAGUCACACCCCAUCCUGGGAUGCAGGAUCACAGGAGUACUAGAGUCACUGGGGAAACCCAAACUGGGAAGAGCUGUCUCUGAAUUCCAGGUAUGCAGAGGAGCAUCCAUUUAUCCAGAGAGAUAAGAAAACAAAGGCUUACCAAAAAGGUGACCUACCCAGAGUCAUCCAACCAAAUAUGACAGAGCUGAGAUUUGAACCCAAAUCUAUUUGACUGCAUAGUGCCCCCUCUUACUCACCAUGGAAGCAGUCAAGAGUUAAUCAGAUUACCCAGUUCCUGCUAACCCAUGAGCUCUCCUGGAGUGGAUUCUACCUAGGAUACAAUUACACACGCCCAGAAGGUCCUUAAGAAUCGACUUGUCUGGGUCUUCAAGAAGCAACGCAACAGGAAUUGUCAGGCAAAAAGACAUUUUGAGCAACUAUUUUGUGCUUGGCCCUGAUCUAUGCACUGCAGAAGACCAGGAAGUAACACCCAGGUCCUGCCUUCAGGCUCCUGCCUUCAGAGAGGGAGAAAAUAAAGCAGGCGACUGUA